GUGGGGAAUAUUGGACAAUGGGCGAAAGCCUGAUCCAGCCAUGCCGCGUGUGUGAAGAAGGUCUUCGGAUUGUAAAGCACUUUAAGUUGGGAGGAAGGGCAGUAAGUUAAUACCUUGCUGUUUUGACGUUACCGACAGAAUAAGCACCGGCUAACUUCGUGCCAGCAGCCGCGGUAAUACGAAGGGUGCAAGCGUUAAUCGGAAUUACUGGGCGUAAAGCGCGCGUAGGUGGUUUUGUAAGUUGGAGGUGAAAUCCCCGGGCUCAACCUGGGAACUGCCUACAAAACUGCAUGACUAGAGUACUGUAGAGGGUAGUGGAAUUUCCUGUGUAGCGGUGAAAUGCGUAGAUAUAGGAAGGAACACCAGUGGCGAAGGCGACUACCUGGACUGAUACUGACACUGAGGUGCGAAAGCGUGGGGAGCAAACAGGAUUAGAAACCCUGGUAGUCC
rnacentral:rRNA from 1 species